UAGCUGGAUUCGGCCCAAGUGCUGUGCACGUUGGCUUCUGGAGGGGUGAAUUGAGACCAUUCGCAUCCAGGGGAAACAUGGAUCCCGAGGCCAGAGCAGGGCUAAGGCGCAAAGAAGGAAUCUCAAGACCUGAGAAAUACAGGCUGGAAAGUCACUUGUGUCAAACUUGACAUCUGUGCAAGUGAACCUGGGGUUUUAACGCUAAGAAAGCUGAGGAUGUCACCACCAGAUAGAUUUUUGGCGGUUGCUGUCACAAAGUAUGCUAAAUGAAAGGGAAAGUUGGAAAAACAUGAUUCUGUGGAUGCAGGAAGAAGGUACAAGUCAAGGCAAGGUGUGUUUAUUUUUUUGUCAUGGAAUACCAGUGCCACACAUUACCUGAUUCCUUUUGAAAAUGAAAUGCAUAAUUGUAAUAAAAGUUUGUUACUGUGGA